GGCAGGCCCGUCUCAAGAGAGGGCACAGGGACACAAGCAGCAGCUCGCUGGCCGUCAGCUCAUGGGUCAGGGGAGGUAAGAUGCUGGACCCCAGCUUGUCGGUGCGGCUGUCGUCCGGGCUGACUGCCAUACGGUUCUUGCCUGCAGAGUCGUCCUGCGAGCCGAAGGACAGAUGCUCGAAGCUCACAGCCUUGCUGUAGGAGGGUGGGGCCUCCACAUCCCCGUCCAAGGUGGAGAACUGUGUCAGCUCUUCCUCUGGGGUGAGGCUGGCCUCCUCGGCACCCAUGGCUCCCACAUCGUACCCAGUGGCCUCGUACUCCUUGGCCUCCCUGGGCUCAGGCGCCGUGCUCCCUGCCUCCUCCUCCUGCUCAGCCUCCACCUCCUCGAUGGUCUCAGUGGUCCCCUGGCGGCUUGUUGGAUGCCAUGAUGAAGAGAACCCACUGCCUAAAGCCCUCAUCUCCUGGUACCCAAAGGAGCAGUGACUGGCGAGGGAAGAUGGCAGAUCCAGGCCUAGGAUGCUGCUGGGUGAGGAUGCUCAUGAGAGGAGGCACACAGAGGUGUGACACACGCAUAGUUUCAGUUCCCACACAUGGCUCAACCCCAAAGAGGGACAGACAGCCCAAAGAUCCUCUACAGAAAGCAACUGGAAUACUUAUCUUCCAACUUGUGUGCUCAUGGGCUGGCUGACCCAGGGAACAGAAACAGAUCUUUAGAGAUAUAGGUUGCCUGAUUUCCAGGCUGAACGUGGUAGGCUGAACUCUGUCAUCAAGUGAACUCACUAGGAGAGUACUAGGUGCCUGGCCUGCACAGCCAUACACUGUUG
ensembl:lncRNA novel transcript, antisense to PIEZO2